rnacentral:rRNA from 1 species
ACGGGGUGCAGCAGGCGCGAGACCUCCGCAAUACACGAAAGUGUGACGGGGUUACCCAAAGUGUUCAAUUUUGAACUGUGGUAGGCGAGUAAUGUCCCCUACUAGAAAGGAGAGGGCAAGGCUGACUAGAAUGAGGAUAAUAAAAUUAUAAUCCCUCUUCUAGGCCUAUGUGCCAGCCGCCGCGGUAAAACCAGCUCUUCAAGUGGUCGGGAUAAUUAUUGGGCUUAAAGCGUCCGUAGCCGGUUUAGUAAGUUCCUGGUAAAAUCGGGUAGCUUAACUAUCCGUAUGCUAGGAAUACUGCUAUACUAGAGGGCGGGAGAGGUCUGAGGUACUAUAGGGGUAGGGGUGAAAUCUUAUAAUCCUUGUAGGACCACCAGUGGCGAAGGCGUCAGACUGGAACGCGCCUGACGGUGAGGGACGAAAGCCAGGGGAGCGAACCGGAUUAGAUACCCGGGUAGUCCUGGCCGUAAACGAUGCAUACUAGGUGAUGAUACGGCCGUGAGCCGUGUCAGUGCCGUAGGGAAACCGUUAAGUGUGCCGCCUGGGAAGUACGGUCGCAAGGCUAAAACUUAAAGGAAUUGGCGGGGGAGCACCACAAGGGGUGAAGCCUGCGGUUCAAUUGGACUCAACGCCGGGAAACUUACCAGGGGAGACAGUAGAAUGACGGUCAGGUUGACGACCUUACCUAACGAGCUGAGA